rnacentral:rRNA from 1 species
CGCGUAGGCGGACACAUAUGUCAUAGGUGAAAUCCCUGGGCUUAACCUGGGAACUGCCUGUGAAACUAUGUAACUAGAAUAUAGGAGAGGGAAGUGGAAUUUCCGGUGUAGCGGUGAAAUGCGUAGAUAUCGGAAAGAACACCAGUGGCGAAGGCGGCUUCCUGGCCUAAUAUUGACGCUGAGGCGCGAAAGCGUGGGUAGCGAACA